rnacentral:rRNA from 1 species
UACGUAGGGCGCAAGCGUUGUUCGGAUUUACUGGGCGUAAAGGGCGCGUAGGCGGCAUAUUAAGUCAUAUGUGAAAUCUCCGAGCUUAACUCGGAACUGUCAGCUGAUACUGAUGUGCUAGAGUGCGGAAGGGGCAAUCGGAAUUCUUGGUGUAGCGGUGAAAUGCGUAGAUAUCAAGAGGAACACCUGAGGUGAAGGCGGUCUCCUGGAGCCUGUUUGACGCUGAGGCGCGAAAGCUGGGGGAGCGAACGGG